GGGGAUAGAUCGACGCGUCAAG
rnacentral:miRNA from 1 species